CAGCAGCCACGGGAAAACGUAGGGCGCAAGCGUUGUCCGGAAUUAUUGGGCGUAAAGAGCUCGUAGGCGGUCUGUCGCGUCUGGUGUGAAAUCCCGAGGCUCAACCUCGGGCUUGCAUCGGGUACGGGCAGACUAGAGUGCGGUAGGGGAGACUGGAAUUCCUGGUGUAGCGGUGGAAUGCGCAGAUAUCAGGAGGAACACCGAUGGCGAAGGCAGGUCUCUGGGCCGCAACUGACGCUGAGGAGCGAAAGCAUGGGGAGCGAACAGGAUUAGAUACCCCAGUAGUCCCUGUCUCUUAUAC
rnacentral:rRNA from 1 species